rnacentral:rRNA from 1 species
AUUGAACGCUGGCGGCAGGCCUAACACAUGCAAGUCGAACGAGUGGCGGACGGGUGAGUAAUGUCUGUGAAAAUGCCCGCUGUGGGGGGAUAACUACUGGAAACGGUAUCUCAUACCCCAUCCCCUCGGCUGUGUCCCGAUGGGAUUAGCUCGUAGGGGGGGUAACGGCUCACCUAGGCGACUCUCCCUAGCUGGUCUGAGAGGUUGACCAGCCAAACUGGAACUGAGACACGGUCCAGACUCCUACGGGAGGCAGCAGUGGGGAAUAUUGCACAAUGGGCGCAAGCCUGAUGCAGCCAUGCCGCGUGUAUGAAGAAGGCCUUCGGGUUGUAAAGUACUUUCAGCGAGGAGGCGUUACUCGCAGAAGAAGCACCGGCUAACUCCGUGCCAGCAGCCGCGGUAAUAC